rnacentral:rRNA from 1 species
AAGAAGAGCACAAAGAGCAUAUGGUGGAUGCCUUGACAUCAAAAGGCGAUGAAGGACGUAGCAGCCUGCGAAAAGUCUCGGGGAGGUGGCAAGCAACCUUUGAUCCGGGAAUUUCCGAAUGGGGCAACCCUGCGCGAUGUUGAAUCGCGUAACUCCAACGCAAGUUGGAGAGCAUACUCGGCGAAGUGAAACAUCUCAGUAGCCGAAGGAAAAUAAAUCAAUCGAGAUUCCCCAAGUAGUGGCGAGCGAACGGGGAACAGUCUAAACCUCUUAUCUUUUUAGCGUUUGUAGAAAUUGGUUUCGAUCAGUUUUGAAAGAUGUUAUAAAAGGUGUAGGCCUGAUAGGAUAAGUGGUGUUGCGUGGCGAUUAUAUUAUCUCCCUACGGAGAUUGGUAGAGAAGUAUCUUCCCUAGUAGAAUCACGUGGAAUACGUGGGCCAAAGAAGGUGAAAGCCCUGUACGCGAAAGGGGAUAUAGCUUUACGGUGAUCGUUCACAAGUAUCACCAGACUCGCGAAAUCUGGUGAGAAUCCGGGCCGACUAACGGUCCAAGACUAAAUACUUUUGAUGAUCGAUAGUGGACAAGUACCACGAGGGAAAGGUGAAAAGCAGCCCGGUGAGGGCNNAGUGAAAGCGAGCGUGAAUAGCGCGUUUGUCGCACUUAUAAGACCCGAAACCGGGUGAGCUAACCAUGACCAGGGUGAACUUUGCAGAAAUGCAAAGGAAGGCCCGAACCAACCAGCUGUGCAACACUGGUGGAUGAGUUGUGGUUAGGAGAGAAAUUCUUAUCGAACUCGGUGAUAGCUGGUACUCCUCGAAAUAGUUUAUCGACUAGCCUCGGAAGAUCCCUCUGGCGGUAGAGCACUGAAUGAGACUUGGUGGAGCAAUCCAUUAAGUUUCAACCAAACUCCGAAUGCCAGAGAUUAUAUUCCGGGAGUCAGUCCGUGGGGGCUAAGCUCCACAGGACAAAAGGGGAACAGCCCAUGACCGUUAUUUAAGGUCCCUAAGUCUAGGUUAAGUGUAAAAGGAGGUGAAAUGACUCAAACAACCAGGAGGUUGGNNGCUUAGAAGCAGCCAUCCUUUAAAGAAAGCGUAACAGCUCACUGGUCAAGUUGUUUCGCACCGAAAAUGUACCGGGGCUAAACCUAGCACCGAAGAUACGGGCUCUUUGAUUUAUCAAAGAGCGGUAGAGGAGCAUUCCUUGCUCAGCGAAGUCGGAUCCGUCAGGACCGGUGGAGAGCAAGGAAGAGAGGAUGUUGGCAUAAGUAGCAGUAAGGCCAGUGAAAACCUGGCCCACCGUAAACCCAAGGUUUCCUGGGCAACGCAAAUCGUCCCAGGGUUAGUCGGCCCUAAGGUGAGUCACUGAUGUAUGUCAGUGGGUAGCCGAUGGAUGAGGUUGUUAAUAUUCAACCACUUUCGUACUUUUGUUUAACACUGCGCAUUGCGAAGAUGCGAGCGUGUUUUGGUUAUAUUCGUUCCGCAAGGAAGAGACAAAGCCGCAAGGCAGAGUCAAUUCGGGUUGGAGCAGUGCCAAGAAAAGGUGUUAAGCGUUAAAAGUAUGAAAACCGUACCGUAAACCGACACAGGUGGGUGGGCGUAAAUGUGCUAAGGUGUACGAGAGAACCCUCGUUAAGGAACUCGGCAAAAUAGUAUGCGUAACUUCGGAAUAAGCAUUUCCUUGAUUUAUCAAGGACGCAGUUAACGAUUUCAAGCGACUGUUUAACAAAAACACAGGUCCCUGCGAAACCGCAAGGUGAUGUAUAGGGGCUGAUGCCUGNNNNNNNNNNNNNNNNNNNNNNNNNNNNNNNNNNNNNNNNNNNNNNNNNNNNNNNNNNNNNNNNNNNNNNNNNNNAAAGACCCCGUGAAGCUUUACUGUAGCUUGAUAUUGGGUUAAGGAUUUAUCUGUUCAGCGUAGGUGGGAGCUCCGAGCAAUCGGAGCGACGAUGAGACACCACCCUGAUGUUUUCUUAAUUCUAAUCUUCCUUGAUUAUCUCAAGGAGGAGACAGUAUCUGGUGGGCAGUUUAUCUGGGGCGGAUGCCUCCUAAAAGGUAACGGAGGCGUUUACAAAGGUCGGCUUAGCUCGGAUGGAAAUCGAGCAUGACGCGCAAACGCACAAGCCUGCU